rnacentral:rRNA from 1 species
UAUCUCUGUAGAGUCUGCAUAUCAAUAAGCGGAGGAAAAGAAACUAACUAGGAUUCCCUUAGUAACGGCGAGUGAAGCGGGAAGAGCUCAAAUUUGAAAUCUUCGAGGUUUUACCUUGACGAAUUGUAGUUUAAAGAAGUGUUUUCUGCUGAGUUUUGGUAAAAGUUCUUUGGAAUAGGACAUCAUAGAGGGUGAGAAUCCCGUAUUUGACCAUUAUUUCAGCUGUGUGAUACACUUUCAAAGAGUCGGAUUGUUUGGGAAUGCAGUCCAAAAUGGGUGGUAAAUUUCAUCUAAAGCUAAAUAUUGGCGAGAGACCGAUAGCGAACAAGUACCGUGAGGGAAAGAUGAAAAGAACUUUGAAAAGAGAGUUAAACAGUACGUGAAAUUGUCAAAAGGGAAGCGUUUGACACCAGUGUUGUUUUCUCGAAAAUCAAUUAAAAAUGGCUCGAUUUUGUAUUGUUGAGACCUUAAAAGCUCACUGUACAUUUUUCGUGUCUUUUUUAAUGCACUUUUCGUUUAACAAGUCAACAUCAGUUUCUUUUGUUGUAAAAGGGUCAUUGGAAGGUGGCUUUCUUUUCGGAGAAAGUGUUUAUAGCCUUUGGCCUCUGCAAUCGGAGAGACUGAGGUCUGCAGCGUAGACUCUUCGGGGUUAGAUACAUUUGUGCUAAGUUAUAGCUUUUUAUAGACAACUUGUUGACUAUAAUUAGUCUUGUAGCUUACUCGCUUAUGCUAUUUUACCUACGCUUAGGAUGUUGAUGUGAUACUGCGAGCA